rnacentral:lncRNA from 1 species
UGCUGAUAAGGCCUGUUGGUAAAAAAAAAUCACAUUUUUAUUUUCCCACAGAAGAAGAAAUAGUGGUAUUUACCACCUGUGAAUUUUGUUGCACUUUACCAGUUUAUUUUAUGAGGCUCCUUUACAUCACUCCCAUAUUUCCCCAUAGGAUUCUGGGCUUAAUCAAACCAUUCCUUAAAGCCCAAGUAUUGGUCUGACUUUUAUUGUCACUGAAGCAUUCUCAGGGUUAAUAUUUGGUGACAGAAGCAGAAGAUGCCCCUAGCACUGCUCUCACUAUGCAGAAAUAGAACCAUGACAGAAUUUUUUUUCUCUUUUGUUACUUCUCAGGAGUAAUGAGACCUCUCCCAAUGACUCAGUGAUACUCUCCUCACCAGGUAUUUCAACAGGACCUGCCCUUACCAAAGAAGAGUUUUGCUGACAGCUUCCCAGCACUGCAGAGAUCCCUGACUUUCUGAGCCAUCUUGCCACUGCAAUUAAUGCCAGCUGAGGAUUAAAUAACUUCAGUGGGCUUCUGUUAACCUGUACUGCUCCAAGUUCUACACUGUGUGUGUGGUGCUCUGAUGGCUCUGCACAGACCUGGAGAGUUACAGAUUUCCAGCUUCCAUACUCCCACUGUUGGUACAGAAAAGCUUCAGGAAUCAAGCUGUCACUUUAGGUUUCCACAGCUGUUUAUAGAAGUGUAGCCAUGAGCCCCAGGGAAGUUGAUGUGCACCCACCCUCCUGAGUGGCUCCUCUUGAUCUUGUAGCAUGAAAUAACAUUGAAAAAUCUGCUUUUUUCACCUUGCCUGCAUGUCCAGAGGUGGAGUUUGUCAUCCAAAGUCUGAAACAGAGGCGCAGCAGAGUACAGCAGUGCUCAGUGUACUUCCUGCAGCCAGAGAUGUCCACAAGCUCCAGGGAGCAGGGAUAAUACCAGAGCACACCUUGUCCAGGAAGCAGAAAUGCCCCCGUGGGAGCAAGAGGAACAGCCUGCUGCCUCUGGAAAGAUUCCACAGGGAGAUGUUGUGCUUCUGUUUUGGAGAUUCAUUUGUGAAAGAAAACCACCAGGAGUGUAAACCUGAAGCCAAAGGCAUCUUGAAAGGAGCCACAUUCAGUGACUGA